UACGAAGGGUACAAGCGUUGUUCGGAAUUACUGGGCGUAAAGCGCGCGUAGGCGGACGCGUAAGUCGAUUGUGAAAAGCCCUGGGCUUAACCUGGGAACUGCAGUCGAAACUGCGUGUCUUGAGUGCCUGAGAGGAUGGCGGAAUUCCCGGUGUAGUAGUGAAAAUACGUAGAUAUCGGGAAGAACACCUGAGGCGAAGGCGGCUAUCUGGCGGUGCACUGACGCUGAGGCGCGAAAGCCAGGGGGAGCAAACGGGG
rnacentral:rRNA from 1 species